rnacentral:rRNA from 1 species
GAGUAAUACAUAUUUAACUUACUUCCGCGAGUAGGAUAGCAGCCCGAAAGGGCUAUUAAUACUACAUAGGUUUAUGGACUUGUAAAUUAAAGGAGGCGCCCUCGGGAGCCUCGCGCGGAAAAGGGAAUAUGUCCUAUUAGGUAGUUGGCGGGGUAAAGGCCCACCAAGCCAAUGAUGGGUAGCUGGACUGAGAGGUUGAACAGCCGCAAUGGGAUUGAGAUAUGGCCCAUAUUCCUACGGGAAGCAACAGUGAGGAAUUUUUCACAAUGGACGAAAGUCUGAUGGAGCAAUACCACGUGAACGAUGAAGGUCUUCUGAUUGUAAAGUUCUUUUAUUUAGGAAAAAAAGCGCGCUAGGAAAUGAGCGCGCCUUGAUGGUACUAAUUGAAUAAGUGACAGCUAACUAUGUGCCAGCAGCUGCGGUAAAACAUAGG